rnacentral:rRNA from 1 species
UUACGACCAUAUCACGUUGAAACACCGGUUCCCGCACGAUCACCUAAGUUAAGCAACGUCGAGCCUGGUCAGUACCUAGAUGGGUGACCGCUUGGGAACACUGGGUGCUGUAAU